AAGAUUAUAGUUUAAAUUAAAACAUUUGAUUUGCAUUCAAAAAUUAUUGAUAAAUCAAUUUAUCUUA
rnacentral:tRNA from 1 species